AUUGAACGCUGGCGGCAGGCCUAACACAUGCAAGUCGAGCGAGCGGCGGACGGGUGAGUAAUGUCUGGGAAACUGCCUGAUGGAGGGGGAUAACUACUGGAAACGGUAGCUAAUACCGCAUACCAUCAGAUGUGCCCAUAUGGGAUUCGCUCGUGGGUGGGGUAAUGGCUCACCUAGGCGACGAUCCCUAGCUGGUCUGAGAGGAUGACCAGCCACACUGGAACUGAGACACGGUCCAGACUCCUACGGGAGGAAGCAGUGGGGAAUAUUGCACAAUGGGGGCAAGCCUGAUGCAGACAUGCCGGGUGUAUGAAGAAGGCCUUCGGGUUGUAAAGCACUUUCAGCGAGGAGGCGUUACUCGCAGAAGAAGCACCGGCUAACGCCGUGCCAGCAGCCGCGGUAAUUC
rnacentral:rRNA from 1 species